rnacentral:rRNA from 1 species
GACGAACGCUGGCGGCGUGCUUAACACAUGCAAGUCGAACGGAAAGGCCCUGCUUUUGUGGGGUGCUCGAGUGGCGAACGGGUGAGUAACACGUGAGUAACCUGCCCUUGACUUUGGGAUAACUUCAGGAAACUGGGGCUAAUACCGGAUAGGAGCUCCUGCUGCAUGGUGGGGGUUGGUAAGUUUCGGCGGUUGGGGAUGGACUCGCGGGUUAUCAGCUUGUUGGUGGGGUAGUGGCUUACCAAGGCUUUGACGGGUAGCCGGCCUGGGAGGGUGACCGGCCACAUUGGGACUAAGAUACGGCCCAGACUGCUACGGGAGGCAGCAGUGGGGAAUAUUGCACAAUGGGCGGAAGCCUGAUGCAGCAACGCCGCGUGCGGGAUGACGGCCUUCGGGUUGUAAACAGAUUUCGCCUGUGACGAAGAGUGAGUGACGGUAAUGGGUAAAGAAGCACCGGCUAACUACGUG